GAGGAAUAUUGGUCAAUGGACGAGAGUCUGAACCAGCCAAGUAGCGUGAAGGAUGACUGCCCUAUGGGUUGUAAACUUCUUUUAUACGGGAAUAAAGUGAGGCGCGUGUGCCUUUUUGUAUGUACCGUAUGAAUAAGGAUCGGCUAACUCCGUGCCAGCAGCCGCGGUAAUACGGAGGAUCCGAGCGUUAUCCGGAUUUAUUGGGUUUAAAGGGAGCGUAGGCGGACGCUUAAGUCAGUUGUGAAAGUUUGCGGCUCAACCGUAAAAUUGCAGUUGAUACUGGGUGUCUUGAGUACAGUAGAGGCAGGCGGAAUUCGUGGUGUAGCGGUGAAAUGCUUAGAUAUCACGAAGAACUCCGAUUGCGAAGGCAGCUUGCUGGACUGUAACUGACGCUGAUGCUCGAAAGUGUGGGUAUCAAACAGGAUUAGAUACCCUGGUAGUCCACACAGUAAACGAUGAAUACUCGCUGUUUGCGAUAUACAGUAAGCGGCCAAGCGAAAGCGUUAAGUAUUCCACCUGGGGAGUACGCCGGCAACGGUGAAACUCAAAGGAAUUGACGGGGGCCCGCACAAGCGGAGGAACAUGUGGUUUAAUUCGAUGAUACGCGAGGAACCUUACCCGGGCUUGAAUUGCAACUGAAUGAUGUGGAGACAUGUCAGCCGCAAGGCAGUUGUGAAGGUGCUGCAUGGUUGUCGUCAGCUCGUGCCGUGAGGUGUCGGCUUAAGUGCCAUAACGAGCGCAACCCUUAUCGAUAGUUACCAUCAGGUUAUGCUGGGGACUCUGUCGAGACUGCCGUCGUAAGAUGUGAGGAAGGUGGGGAUGACGUCAAAUCAGCACGGCCCUUACGUCCGGGGCUACACACGUGUUACAAUGGGGGGUACAGAAGGCAGCUACACGGCGACGUGAUGCUAAUCCCGAAAGCCUCUCUCAGUUCGGAUUGGAGUCUGCAACCCGACUCCAUGAAGCUGGAUUCGCUAGUAAUCGCGCAUCAGCCACGGCGCGGUGAAUACGUUCCCG
rnacentral:rRNA from 1 species